GUUUAUGGCGUUAGUUUAUCGUUUACAUCAGUGUUGCCAUCAGCUGUUGCCCUUUUACGUAGUGGUUUAUUAUCUAAUAUAAUUAAAAUUUGGAUUCGUAGUGUAUACGAAUUAUGUUUACUUUAACCGUUGCAUUAAUUAUUCAGUUGCAAGCAAUGCAUUAACGAAACGUACGAGUGUUAAGACAUUUCGAACGAGAACUAGUACAUUUUUGAGGUUAGAUGAUUAAACGAUCCACAAAACAAUCGCGUAUUUCCGAUAAAAACACUGUAUUUCGAUCAUAACUGAUGAAGAGGCGGUAGGAAUCUUUUGAGCCUUAAAAUAUGGCGGAUUACUGGAAAUCCCAAGGACGCAAGUUCUGUGAUUUCUGCAAGUGUUGGAUCGCCGACAACAAACCUAGCAUCGAUUUUCAUGAAGGCGGCAAGAAACACAAGGAGAAUGUUAGCAAACGGCUUAAAGAGAUACACAAGAACAGCGCGAAACAGGCGAAGCAGAAUAAGAAAAUUGAAAAUGACAUCAAAAAGAUGGAAAACGCAGCCAUGGCCGCUUACUUGAAAGAUGUGGAGAACAACACGAGAGACCUAACCGCUGACAGGAUCAUCCAGGAAAAGGCGAAUAAGAGAGACAAGAAAGAUAAUUCCGAUCAUGCGUCAACAGCCAAUCGAGACACGGCACCUAAGGAUAAGUACAGAAUUGACAAUCAACAGUUUUCCCAAGAAAUCGACCCAUGCGACCCAAUUCUAUCGAGAGGUACGACGACGCCGCAUCAUACCAAGUUUCAACAAAAAGGCGAGAACAAGAGUCAAGGAAAGAGCAAAGCGGGCAAAGGAAAAGGAAAAGGGAAAAAAAUUGUGGAAGAGGAUCGUCCCACGAAACCCGUCCAUAAAGUUUGGUACGAAGCUCUGAGUCCCGAAGGAUACACUUACUAUUGGAAUGUCGAAACCAAUGAAUCUGUUUGGGAAGUACCCGAAGAAGGGUACAUGACGUUUGCCGAGCAGGAAGAAGAAGCGAAAGAGCAGGCUAUUCAGGAAGAAUUGCUGAAGCAAUUGGAAAUAGAAGAAGCGGUCGCGAACGCGGAUAUUCUCGAAGAGAAGCGAGCCAACGCCGAAAGAGAGAGGCUGAAAGAGCUGAGAAAAGCGAGUAGCGCUCAACCGAGUGCGGAAUCCACCGAACAGGAUAAAAACGCGAAAACGGUCGAGGAAGAAAGACCGUACAGAAGGGACUACAGCAUCCCUGAAAAAUCACAUCCUUACGGUCCGUGGCAAACCGUUCGGAAAAUAGAAACGAAACCGGUGGAUUUACAGUUGCCGCAACAGAAGCAAGUACCGCUGCCCGUUUUCGAGAAAGCGGAACCACCUACUGCCCAAAGAACGUUCAAGGAAAAACAGAUCACAAGGAUCGACGCGGGGGACAGUGACGACGAGAGGCAACCGACUACGUUCAAAAAGCGAAAGAUUGGCAAUAAGAGCGUGCGAAAACGAUUGGACGAUGAUCAAUGACUGCUCGUUCUGAUCAUAAGAUCUCUUUUGAUACAAUGGCGCGACGACGGAAAAUCGGCGCGUAGGACUGGGAUAUUUGUACUCAAAACUCCACCUUACUCGAAUACGAACGAUUCGAUCGUUUCAACGAUCGUUUAGCAGUCCUCGAUCGAUUCACGAUUUUCUUC